rnacentral:rRNA from 1 species
GAUGAACGCUGGCGGCGUGCCUAAUACAUGCAAGUAGAACGCUGAAGGAAGGAGCUUGCUCUUUCCGGAUGAGUUGCGAACGGGUGAGUAACGCGUAGGUAACCUGCCUGGUAGCGGGGGAUAACUAUUGGAAACGAUAGCUAAUACCGCAUAACAGUAGAUGUUGCAUGAUAUCUACUUAAAAGGUGCAAUUGCACCACUACCAGAUGGACCUGCGUUGUAUUAGCUAGUUGGUGAGGUAACGGCUCACCAAGGCGACGAUACAUAGCCGACCUGAGAGGGUGAUCGGCCACACUGGGACUGGGACACGGCCCAGACUCCUACGGGAGGCAGCAGUAGGGAAUCUUCGGCAAUGGACGGAAGUCUGACCGAGCAACGCCGCGGGAGUGAAGAAGGUUGUCGGAUCGUAAAGCUCUGUUGUAAGAGAAGAACGAGUGUGAGAGUGGAAAGUUCACACUGUGACGGUAUCUUACCAGAAAGGGACGGCUAACUACGUG